rnacentral:rRNA from 1 species
ACGAACCGUGCGAACGUUGUUCGGAUUCACUGGGCUUAAAGGGCGCGUAGGCGGGCAAGCAAGUCCGGGGUGAAAUCUUUCGGCUCAACCGGAAAAGUGCCUUGGAUACUGCUUGUCUUGAGGGAGGUAGGGGUCAUGGGAACUUCCGGUGGAGCGGUGAAAUGCGUUGAUAUCGGAAGGAACGCCGGUGGCGAAAGCGCAUGACUGGAUCUCUUCUGACGCUGAGGCGCGAAAGCUAGGGGAGCAAACG